AAUGAACGUUGGCGGCGUGGAUUAGGCAUGCAAGUCGGACGGGCUCCGCAAGGAGCCAGUGGCGAAAGGGAGAGUAACGCGUGGAUACCUACCUCGGGGACCGGAAUAGCUGCGGGAAACUGCAGGUAAUGCCGGAUAACAUCUUCGGAUCAAAGGGAGUGAUUCCGCCCGGAGAGGGGUCCGCGUCCUAUUAGCUAGUUGGCGGGGUAAUGGCCCACCAAGGCGACGAUGGGUACUGGGUGUGAGAGCACGACCCAGCUCACUGGGACUGAGACACUGCCCAGACACCUACGGGUGGCUGCAGUCGAGAAUCUUCGGCAAUGGGCGAAAGCCUGACCGAGCGACGCCGCGUGCGGGAUGACGGCCUUCGGGUUGUAAACCGCUGUCAGUGGGGAGGAAAUGCGCGAGGGUUCUCCCUCGUGUUUGACCUAUCCGCAGAGGAAGGGUGGGCUAAGUUCGUGCCAGCAGCCGCGGUAACAC
rnacentral:rRNA from 1 species